UCAUUGAGUGCAGCGUUGAUGACAUCGGCAUUCGUCCUUUUCCUUCGUCUCCGACUGUCGUUUCAUUGACGCUGCACUCAAUA
rnacentral:pre_miRNA from 1 species